rnacentral:rRNA from 1 species
AUGUCCCGUUCCACUCGCUCGAAGUGGUGCUCGGCCGCUUACCUCGACCCCUGCCCGUGGUUUCGCUCAUCGAAAUCUGCUUCCCCAACGAGCGGCUGCCAUGGCCGAUCCCCGAGGAGCACCUGGUCAACGCUGCCAGCGUCAACUCGUUGCUCCGCGCAGCCGCGCGGCUCGAGCCGGAGGAGUUCGAGUUUGAGCUCCCCACGAACUUACUCGAUGGUCCGCUCAUCGUCGACCUGCCUUGCUUCCACCGCGCCACCCCCAUCCUGCUGGACCCUUCACCCCGUCCGCGUGCCAACCGGCGUCGAGUUCCCCGCACUCGAGGAGCUGCACCUGUGGGCAUGCACCGUCGACAUUGACGCCUUGCUCUCCUGCUCCCCGCGCUUGCGCACGCUCUGCCUAAGUGACGUUUAUUCCGACAACGACAACCUCGCUGUGAGCGCCAUGCUUGCGGUCAGCUCGGCGUCGCUGCAGGAGCUUGUCCUGCACCAAACCGACUGGAUGGAUGGUGUCAACAUCGUUGCCCCCGUGCUUAGGCAAUUGACCGUGUCUUUUUCGGCAAUGGAGAAGGUCAGCAUCUCCGUCUUGGCACCAAUGGUGGAGAUGGUCUCGUGGAGAUGCUGCUACUUCGAGGUGUCUAUCGUGUUCGGUGUUUGGCGACUCGAGCAGGUGACUCUGCAGACGGCUCAGACACCAGGACAGCUGCCUUCGCUGCAGAUUCAUGCCAGCGCCAAUUCUAUUUUUGUCUGUGAAGAGGAGACAUUUAUGCACGAGAUAGAAAAGCAUAUGAUUGCCGAGUUUUCCGUUUUGGAGCUACAUCUUGAAACAAAUGGACAUGUGUUUGGAGCGCUCGCGUUUCAUGUCCUAGGGAUGAAUAGAAUUUGUAGUGCUAUGCAGAAGCUUAAGGUCAUCCUACAGAGGUCAUCGGUGAAAGAAGGAUGCUCACCUCAUUGUCCAUGUGAGUCCAUGGGGUGGAGAUCCCAAACUAUCUCCUUGACUGGAACCGAAGAAGUGGAGAUCAGUGGCUGUGGAGGAGACGGUCAUGAGAUUGAUUUCUUGAAACUGAUACUCAAAUGUGCGCCAAUGCUCAAAAAAAUGAUUGUGAAGCUGUCAGAUGGGGCCUCAUCAAGUGAUGAUGGAUGCACAAACAUAUACAACAUUUUCAAGGCUUAUUCUUCUGUGGAACUCUAUGUUUAUCUUAGCUCUGGGUUAAUGCUCGGCAGCCAAGACUCACCCUCAGCAUGA